rnacentral:rRNA from 1 species
GUGGGGAAUUUUGCGCAAUGGGCGGAAGCCUGACGCAGCAACGCCGCGUGGAGGACGAAGGUUUUCGGACUGUAAACUCCUGUCCCCAGGGAAAAGAGGAGAUGGUACCUGGGGAGGAAGCCCCGGCUAACUCCGUGCCAGCAGCCGCGGUAAUACGGGGGGGGCGAGCGUUGUUCGGAAUUACUGGGCGUAAAGGGCGCGUAGGCGGCCUGGGAAGUUCUGGGUGAAAGCCCCCGGCUCAACCGGGGAAGUGCCUGGAAAACCACUGGGCUGGAGUGCUGGAGAGGAGAGCGGAAUUCCCGGUGUAGCGGUGAAAUGCGUAGAGAUCGGGAGGAACAUCGGAGGCGAAGGCGGCUUUCUGGACAGACACUGACGCUGAGGCGCGAAAGCCAGGGGAGCAAACGGGAUUAGAUACCCCAGUAGUCC